rnacentral:lncRNA from 1 species
CUGAUCUGAAGUGAUCUGCCCACCUCGGCUUCCCAAAGUGCUGGGAUUACAGGCGUGAGCCACUGCGCCUGGCCCCUUCAGGUGGGUAUUGAGGCUUCACUACAAUACUAGUUCCCCGUUGCUGCCGCAAUAAAUUACCACACACUUAGUGGCUUAAAACAGCACAGAGGUAUUCCUUUACAUUUCUGAAGGCCAGAAUUCUAAAGUCAGUCCCACUGAGUCAACGUGGGAGCAGGGUCAGUGCCUUCCCAGGCUCUGCGGGAGAAUCUGUUUCCUGGCCCUGGAGGCGGCCUGUACUCCUCAGCUUGUGCUGCCCUUCUCGAAUGACUCGCGUUUCCUGCUUUCAUCACUACACCUCCCACCGCUCUCCAUCACCUGCUCUGCUCUUAUAAGGAUCCAGUUUUCAGAAAAAUGGAAUAGUCGUAUCACUGAUCUACGUAAACAAGUUGAAGAAUUGUCUGAAAGAAAAUACAGUGUGUCUAAACUGGAAAAGUCCUGUAAUAGUUUGUUCAUGAGCAUUUACACAAUGGAGUUGCUGUUUCAUCAUGGGGGUACUGUGGACAAACCCAGGGCUGCUGACAUGAACUUAUGAAUUCAACACAUGAAGAUUUACAGCUUGACAAACCAGCUUCAGGAGGGAUUGUGCUGCAUUCGAACAUAGGUUCUGCCAUCAAACACAGAAUGCCCUGAUCCUUAGAGGCAGAGGCAGCUCUUCAGCCUAUGGGGGAGGCAGACCAGUUUUACAAAUAGCUGCUGGCCUGGAGAAUAACAGUUUCUACCAAGUGAGUGGUUAAAAAAGGCAGCCUGGAAAAAUAACUGUGGGAUGCUCAAGCUGUUGGACUCGCCGAGGCAGUAAAAGUACCAUAUCCUGUGUUUGAAUCAAACUCCAAUUUCCUGUAUAUAGAAGGCUUGCCAGACAGGAUUCCCUUCCGAAGCCCUACCUGGUUUGGAAUUCCAUGACUUGAAAGGAUCCUUCGUGGGAGUAAUAAAAUCAAGUUUGUUGUUAAAAACUUUGCAGUCCCCAAAAAAACCAUGAAGCCCUGAGAGUAAUGAAAAGCUUCCUGACAUUGAGGUCACUGUGGAAGAACCACCUAAGCUAAAGAUUCUUUUGAGAACAAGGGCUAGCCUGUGGUUUCAUGGCCUUUCUUCCAUUUGGGGUUCUUGCCAAGUGGAAUUUAAAUGACCUCUUAUCAAGAUGGAUAAACCCAAGUUUCCCAGUGCUGGAAUACAGAAAAUGGAUGGACAAGAUGUCUUUUUGUCACUUCCAGCUGGAUCUACCAUGAAAGACGUCAGAGUCCAGGAAGAGAGACUGACUGGGCAACAUGUUAUUCAGAAUUAGAGAAGAUGAUGUGGUGAUGGAAGAAGAGGUCAGAGAGGGAGAUUUGAAGAUGUUGCAGUUCUGGCCUUCAAGAUGGAGUCAGGGGCUAUCUUCAAGAGAGAAGAUCUUGAUCUGUGGCCCAGGCUGCAGUACAGU